UGUGCCAGAGCAGGCCAAAGAACAAGAGGUUAUGGACAAUUUUUUAAUAGUCCACGAACCCCCAGAGAAGCGGGACAUCUGUUGGAGUACUCUUUCAGUACACAUCUCAAGUGGCCAGCUAACCUGCUGGGGAAUGGAUCAUCCUGCAGAGGGUGAAUCAUGAGCUCACAGAUGAAAGUCACCCAAGAUGACAUCCCAGAUACUAUUGGCAAACAUCAUACAUGCCGAAAUCAAAGAUGAAGCUGUCAAACAGUAAGAGUGGAUGCUGCAGGGAUAGACAACAACAUCAUGUUAAAGAAAAC
rnacentral:lncRNA from 1 species